rnacentral:lncRNA from 1 species
UUUUAUUACUUUAAGUUCAAAGAAAAUGUUGUAGUCUCAUGUUUCCUUUAAUAAUGUUAUUGUUAUCUCAUUUGAUUUUUACUUUAUUCAUGAGCAAUAAAUACAAGGAAAAAUGAUAUAGAUAAACACCGCUGCAACUGAGAUGGGGUGAGGAAAAUUGAAAGAAAGCUAAAAGUAGAGUACAGAGGUUGUCACAGAAACAGUGCAUUAGGCGGCGGCUAUGAAUAAAUGUAAUGUUGGAGUGCGGCUUCCAUAUACCACCAAUCGGCAGGAAGCGCUCUCUAUUCUUUUUUAAUUUUUAUUUCCUUCUUUUACUCUCCUUUUGUUUUUUGUCUGUUAUUUCAAAAGUAGAAGUUACACUCAAAAAAAGGAACAAGCGAUUUAUAUCUAUG